CCUACGGGUGGCAGCAGUGAGGAAUAUUGGUCAAUGGGAGAGAUCCUGAACCAGCCAAGCCGCGUGAGGGAAGACGGCCCUAUGGGUUGUAAACAUCUUUUGUCGGAGAACAAAACCCGGGACGUGUACAGGACUGCGUGUAGACGAAGAAAAAGCAUCGGCAAACACCGUGCCAGCAGCCGCGGUAAUACGGAGGAUGCGAGCGGUAACCGGAUUUAUGGGGUUGACAGGGUGAGUAGGCGGUCCGUUAAGUCAGCGGUAAAAUUGCGGGGCUCAACCCCGUCGAGCCGUUGAAACUGGCAGACUUGAGUUGGCGAGAAGUACGCGGAAUGCGCGGUGUAGCGGUGAAAUGCAUAGAUAUCGCGCAGAACUCCGAUUGCGAAGGCAGCGUACCGGCGCCAGACUGACGCUGAGGCACGAAAGCGUGGGGAUCGAACAGGAUUAGAUACCCUGGUAGUC
rnacentral:rRNA from 1 species